CCACAAAAUCCUUUUGAAGUCUUGGAAUAUAUCCACCAGUCAAAGGAAACCGAGAAGGUGAUUAGAAAGCAUUGGUUAGAAAAAGAUACUUGCAAAUUCAUUUUCUCACAUGCUGAUACAUUUCGUUUUGGCAGGCUUGAUUUUUAUAAAGCCUUGGACUAAAAUGAAAACAAUUGAAUUGGAAACUUUGUAUCACCCACUUCAGGGAAUAUUACAACAGCUUCUACUAUGGACUCAAGUGCAUUUAAAGGAAAUAUAUUCCCAGGAAUUCAAAGCUCAUAAAGAGAACUGAUGGUGUAUGGUGUAGAAGACUGAACAUUUUUAUUCUGCAGUAAACAGAGGCAAGUCUAGUUGCUACCCAGUUUUUAUUUUUAUCUAUUUAUUUAUUAAACAAUUUUUUUUAUUGGAGUUCAAUUUGCCAACAUAUAGCAUAACACCCAGUGCUCGUCCCGCCAAGUGCCCCCUCAUUGCCCAUCACCCAGUCACCCCAACCCCCACCUACCUCCCCUUCCACUACCCCUUCUUCAUUUCCUAGAAUUAGGUGUCUCUUAUGUUCUGUCUCCCCACUGAUAUUUUCACUCAUUUUCUCUCCUUUCCCUUUAUUCCCUUUCACUAAUUUUUAUAUUCCCCAAAUGAAUGAGGCCAUACAAUGUUUGUCCUUUUCCAAUUGACUUAUUUCACUCAGCAUAAUGCCCUCCAGUUCUAUCCACAUUGAAGCAAAUAGUGGCUACCCAGUUUUUAUGUGAAUAUUUUGGUGUUCUCAUAUUUGCUUCCACCAUAAUGUAGGGAAGUGGUUCCCCAACCUGGCUGGCCAGUAGAACUACCUAAAGAACUGUUUAAACGUACAUAUCCUUGAGUAUUUGCCCUAUCUAAUAAAACAUCAUCUAUCUCUUACA
rnacentral:lncRNA from 1 species